rnacentral:lncRNA from 1 species
UUUUUUUUUGUCUCAGAUUUUUUUUCCUUGUUGCUGUGUUAUUUAUGGGAGAUUAGAUAUGACAUCCUUAAAAAACAUCUAAAUGUGAAUUAGCCAAACUGUUUCAAUAUAAGUCUUUUUAAAGGUUUCAUUAUAGACUACAUAUGGAUGUAGUAUAUAGACGUAUUGUAGAGUUUUGAUUCACUCAUUUUGCCUUGUAUGUAGUCCAUAUUGAAAUCUCUAGAAAGAGAAACGGAGUGAUAUUUUUUUUUGUGAGCAUUAAGGAAGGACUGGUGGUUUACAUGCAUGCAUUUGAGUAAACGUGUUAUAAAUGAUAUGCAAAAUGCUGUCAUAAUUAAGAUCUUUUGCUCAUAGUGGUGAAACGGAGUUGAGCUACUCUUCCGAUUUACUAUAACUCAUGAUCCACGGCACAAUGAACACGACUAGAGAAGGCAUGUGAAGAAGAAAACACCAUGAUCAUUCAGCACUACAUAGGGAGUGUUCACAAACCAUCGCCACUACAUCUUGAUUAGGAUUGAUCGAGAACCUGCCAUGCACAUCCAAAACAAGCGAGCCUGCAUGCAGACGCCACUACCACCUCCAGGUUCCAUGGAAACUCACCCACCUUAACCUUAGCCAACGCAACAACCUUAGCUACUGCUAAUCCGCUACUACCAUCCUCGAACACUACCUGCUACUCCUCCUGCUGCAGCUGCGAUGCCGGUGCUAGCGACGACGCCGCUGGCC